rnacentral:rRNA from 1 species
UACAGGGGGUGCAAACGUUGCUCGGAAUCAUUGGGCGUAAAGCGCACGUAGGCGGUUCGUUAUGUCGGAUGUGAAAGCCCUUGGCUUAACCGAGGAAGUGCAUCCGAAACUGGCGAGCUAGAGUACGAAAGAGGAUCGCGGAAUUCCCGGUGUAGAGGUGAAAUUCGUAGAUAUCGGGAGGAACACCGGUGGCGAAGGCGGCGAACCUGGU